rnacentral:rRNA from 1 species
UACGUAGGGUGCAAGCGUUAAUCGGAAUUACUGGGCGUAAAGCGUGCGCAGGCGGUUUUGUAAGGCAGAUGUGAAAUGCCCGGGCUUAACCUGGGAACUGCAUUUGUGACUGCAUGGCUAGAGUUUGGCAGAGGGGGGUAGAAUUCCACGUGUAGCAGUGAAAUGCGUAGAUAUGUGGAGGAACACCGAUGGCGAAGGCAGCCCCCUGGGUCAAGACUGACGCUCAUGCACGAAAGCGUGGGGAGCAAACAGG